UACGUAGGGUGCGAGCGUUAAUCGGAAUUACUGGGCGUAAAGCGUGCGCAGGCGGUGAUGUAAGUCAGAUGUGAAAUUCCCGGGCUUAACCUGGGAGCUGCAUUUGUGACUGCAUCGCUGGAGUGCGGCAGAGGGGGAUGGAAUUCCGCGUGUAGCAGUGAAAUGCGUAGAUAUGCGGAGGAACACCGAUGGCGAAGGCAAUCCCCUGGGCCUGCACUGACGCUCAUGCACGAAAGCGUGGGGAGCAAACAGG
rnacentral:rRNA from 1 species